UGUCGACUUCUCCUCACUGUUCUACAGUUGUUAUGGCUCAUACAUCAGAUGGUUCAUACAGGAUGGCAAUAGACUUCAGACUGCUUAAUUCAGUUGCAGUUUUUUAUGCUGAACCAUCUUGCAGGGAUGAGACAGAGCUACACAAGUUUGCUGGAGCUAAGUUCUUCUGGGAGUUAGACUACCAGGUCCCUCUUUUACCUAGGGCCCAACCUUUAACAGCUUUCCCUACACACUCAUGUCUUUCUACUUCAAUAACAUCUUUGUGUACUCCUCAUAUUGACCCACUCACAUUUUUGCCCUAAGAUCUGUUUUAGAGUCUCCAAUGCCAUGGACUUAGAGUCAAGCCCUCGAAGUGUCAUUUAGGAGUGGAAUCCAUCAAUUAUCUGGGUUUUGUCAUGACACCCAACUACCUUUGGCUCCAAAUUGACAAGAUCUCAAUCAAUGAUUCCUUCUUCCACUAAAAAGUUACUUCAGAGUUUUCUGGGAGUGAUAUUUUUAUUACAUGAGCUCUAUCCCUCAGGCUUCUGAGCUAACUAGCCCCUCUCUGAUCUUCUGAAGAAGCUGGUACGAGAACCUCUCCGCUGGUCUGCUAAUCUUCACUCCCAUUUCGAAUAACUGAAGCAGGCAUUGUCAUUCUUGUCUGUCCUCCGUCUGCCAGACCUGAACCGGACCUUUGUUCUGCAGACUGAUGCUACCAACCACAGGACUGGUACUGUGCUUCUACAGUACCAAGAAGACCUUCCACACCCUGCUGCCCAUGCCAGCCGCAAGCUAUUGGAGAAGGAACGACGAUAUUCUACCAUUGAGAAGGAAUGCCUGGCCAUAGUCUUUGGCAUUAAUAGGUUUGACUUCUACCUCUGAGCUAUACAGCAAAUGCUUUCAUAGGGGCAUGUGUGAGGGAAUCACCAACCAUCUAAGCAUCCCUUUAACUACUGGGGUAAAAGGGAGUAAUGAUCAUCUCACCUGCUCUCAUUACCUAGCACUCAUCCGUUGAAGGACCCAACUUGUUCCUGGUUCAACCCCUGCCAGCUGAGGCAAGAUUCCUAUGACUGGCCAAAAUUUCUGCACUCCCGUUACCUGUUGGCCAAGGAGUGACUACUACUACUGUAACUGUCAGCCAUCCCAACAUCUGCCUGUUGGUGUGUGACUACCAUGGCUGCCAGGAUGCCUGCCUCCAAGGACUCUCCCAGGACUCUUGGUGAUAUCUCUGUUAUUAUUAGGUUGUGGGUUUGUGUUUUUUGUUAAUUAUAAUCAUGGAGUUCUGGUCACA